rnacentral:ncRNA from 1 species
CAAAAGGUUUGGUCCUGGCCUUUUUAUUAACUCUUAGUAGANUUNCACAUGCAAAUAUCCNUGCCCCUGUGAGAAUGCCCUCUAUAUCAUCACGAUCAAAAGGUGCAGGCAUCAAGCUCACUANAAUNAGUUGCUCAUAACGCCUUGCUCAACCACACCCCCACGGGUUACAGCNGUGAUUAAAAUUAAGCNCAUGAACGAAAGUUCGACUAAGUUAUACUAANNNCAUUGGGUUGGUAAAUUUCGUGCCAGCCACCGCGGUCAUACGAUUAACCCUAGUUAAUAAAACACGGCGUAAAGCGUGAUUAAUAGACCUUAACUCAAUAAGACUAAGCCUAGACUAAGCUGUAAAAANCCCUAGUCUCAAUAAAAAUGAUUAAACGAAAGUAGUCUUAAAAUACUUGAAUUCACGAUAGCUAAGACCCAAACUGGGAUUAGAUACCCNACUAUGCUUAGCCCUAAACAUAGAUACUCAACUAACAAGACUNNNNNCNNGAGUNCUACUAGCAACAGCUUAAAACUCAAAGGACUUGGCGGUGCUUUACAUCCCUCUAGAGGAGCCUGUUCUAUAAUCGAUAAACCCCGAUACACCUUACCACCUUUUGCAAAUAUCAGCCUAUAUNCCGCCAUCUUCAGCAAACCUUAACAAAGUCUCACAGUAAGCGCAAUAAUAACACAUAAAUACGUUAGGUCAAGGUGUAGCCUAUAAGGUGGGAAGAAAUGGGCUACAUUUUCUACCUACUAGAACAGCUACNNAACGACAGCUUUUAUGAAACUCAAAGCCCAAGGCGGAUUUAGUAGUAAGCUAAGAAUAGAGCGCUUAGCUGAAUCGGGCAAUAAAGCACGCACACACCGCCCGUCACCCUCUUCAAAUUCUACGAACAAAUAAUUNNNAUAUCUAAUUCCNCUUCACCAAUAGCAUGAGAAGAGAUAAGUCGUAACAAGGUAAACAUACUGGAAAGUGUGUUUGGAACAA